AGGAGAGUAUCCUCAGGUGAGCGAGAGAACUCUCGUUAAGGAACUCGGCAAAAUGGCCCCGUAACUUCGGGAGAAGGGGCGCUGGUCGCAAGAUCAGCCGCAGUGAAAAGGCCCAAGCAACUGUUUAUCAAAAACACAGGCAUCUGCAAAAUCGUAAGAUGAAGUAUAGGUGCUGACACCUGCCCGGUGCUGGAAGGUUAAGAGGAGAGCUUAGCGCAAGCGAAGGUUUGAAUUGAAGCCCCAGUAAACGGCGGCCGUAACUAUAACGGUCCUAAGGUAGCGAAAUUCCUUGUCGGGUAAGUUCCGACCUGCACGAAAGGUGUAAUGAUUUGGGCACUGUCUCAACGAGAGACUCGGUGAAAUUAUAAUACCCGUGAAGAUGCGGGUUACCCGCGACAGGACGGAAAGACCCCAUGGAGCUUUACUGCAGUUUAAUAUUGGGUAUCUGUCAAGCAUGUACAGGAUAGGUAGGAGCCGGAGAAGAUAGGACGCCAGUCUUAUC
rnacentral:rRNA from 1 species